AAAGGGGCUUCGGCCCUGAGUAGAGUGGCGAACGGGUGAGUAACACGUGGGUGACCUACCUUCGAAUGGGGGAUAACGUCCCGAAAGGGACGCUAAUACCGCAUAACAUCCUGCUUUUGAAGAGGUGGAGAUCAAAGCUGGGGAUCGCAAGACCUGGCGUUUGAAGAGGGGCCCGCGUCUGAUUAGCUAGUUGGUGAGGUAACGGCUCACCAAGGCAACGAUCAGUAUCCGGCCUGAGAGGGCGGACGGACACACUGGGACUGAGACACGGCCCAGACUCCUACGGGAGGCAGCAGUGGGGAAUUGUUCGCAAUGGGCGCAAGCCUGACGACGCAACGCCGCGUGGAGGAUGAAGGUCUUCGGAUUGUAAACUCCUGUUGCCCGGGACGAAAUGCUUCGACCUAACACGUCGAAGUUUGACGGUACCGGGUGAGGAAGCCCCGGCUAACUCUGUGCCAGCAGCCGCGGUAAUACAGAGGGGGCAAGCGUUGUUCGGAAUUACUGGGCGUAAAGGGCGCGUAGGCGGCCUUCUAAGUCGAACGUGAAAUCCCCGGGCUCAACCCGGGAACUGCGUCCGAUACUGGAAGGCUUGAAUCCGGGAGAGGGAUGCGGAAUUCCAGGUGUAGCGGUGAAAUGCGUAGAUAUCUGGAGGAACACCGGUGGCGAAGGCGGCAUCCUGGACCGGCAUUGACGCUGAGGCGCGAAAGCCAGGGGAGCAAACGGGAUUAGAUACCCCGGUAGUCCUGGCCCUAAACGAUGAAUGCUUGGUGUGGCGGGUAUCGAUCCCUGCCGUGCCG
rnacentral:rRNA from 1 species